AACUUGUGUCUGGUGUGAAUUACUUCAGGAGCGUCCACGCAUUACUUCUUUAAUUUGGCCAGGGGCAGAUACGCAAAGAUAAUCAAUUUAUUGAUUGAUUUCCACAUCAUUUUUUUUUUUUACACCUCUCGCUAUUUACCUUUGGAGGAUGUUGUGUAUCGCAGAAAGCCGGCUACACUGGCAGAUAUUCGGGAAGAAAGCAUGUGCAGCAAUCCCACUGGAAACUUGGGGCAACGUUGGCGAGCAGCCAUUCUCUGUGCUAAAAAGUGUCUGGACGCUAAUGGCAGC